AGUCUUUUCUUAACCUUACCAUACUCUCUUUGCUAUCUCUCUACCAUAUUUGCUAUCUCUCUCUACCAUCUUCCAUUUUGAAAACUACACCAUCUUCCACCAUCUUCCAGCAUCUUCCGUCUUUAAGAAAACGACACCAUCUUCCACUAUCUCCCAGCAUCUUCCGAUUCGUUAAUAAAAAUAAAAAGGAUCUAAAGCAAUUAUUCUUAAUCUUUCAAAGUUGUUAUUUUGUUACAAGGUUUGGACCUUUUUUUACAUGGUUCCUUUUUUCAUUUUCGUUACAAUUGUGUUUUAGUUUAUAUUUCAGCUUCACUUACAAGAUUUCUUAUUUUGGGGCUAUGUUUUGAACAUUUAACAUUGUUAUUGUUUAGUUCCUUUUCAGAUGUCAGUGUUUAACCAAAUGAACAUUUCAAGUUUCUUCUUAUGAGGUUUUCUGAUUUUUGAUCUCAAAGCUGAGUCAGCAGGGAUAGAGUUGUUGAGGCUAAAAAUGAAUUGGAGAAGUAAGUGGCAAUCUGAUAAUAUUGAGAUUGUCUUGAAAGUAGUUUUUAAUUGGAAGUCUUGCAAAUAUUUUGUGGGUAGAAUAUUAUAGUAAUAAAAUUAGAUGAUCAUGUAUCAAUGAGGUCUUUUAUUCCAUUUCCAACAAUAGCAUUGGCAAUGGUUAAGGUGGAGAAGUAAGUGUCUAUCUAAUAAUGGUG